UACGUAGGGUGCAAGCGUUGUCCGGAAUUAUUGGGCGUAAAGAGCGCGUAGGUGGCCUGUCGCGUCGGCUGUGAAAACUCGGGGCUCAACUCCGAGCUUGCAGUCGAUACGGGCAGGCUAGAGUGCGGCAGGGGAGACUGGAAUUCCUGGUGUAGCGGUGAAAUGCGCAGAUAUCAGGAGGAACACCGGUGGCGAAGGCGGGUCUCUGGGCCGAUACUGACACUGAGGAGCGAAAGCGUGGGGAGCGAACAG
rnacentral:rRNA from 1 species